UAAUCCUAUUUUGGUAAACAUCAGCCGCUACCACACCUUUUUCCCUUUCAAACUCCUUGCUCUGCAGAUUGCAUCUUCAACAUUGUGAAACUCUAGUUUCAUAAAGAGACAUACCACGACAACACCUCAUCACUUCCUCUAGCUACAUCUUGAUCACCACUCCUCCCUCUGUCUCAAAUAUUCUCACAAGUUUGCACCUUCGUCGGAGUACGAAGAUGUCGACGGAGUUCCCUUAACACACCACAAGAACCUCGUGUCGCCACUGCAAUCCAUCGUCGUAGACUCGGGACUCACCGGAGCACAAGCCGGAACAAGUAAGACCUACCGGAAAACUCGAAGGCGUCACCGGAGCUCGACGACAACACCACGACGAGUAUUGAUACUCCACAGUUGCGGUUAACCGCUCUUGUUCGUUCUUUUGGAAUUUCCCAAUCUUACUCGUGUGUUACUUACAAGAAAUCGCAUACGCAAUCAAAGAUUUUGAUGAUGCAAGGAAUCUAGUAGGAUUGCCUAGAAACACAUUUAAACUUUAAUACUUGUUGUACUGUAUUUUAUUUUCAAACAUGUUGUAUUUUGUUUCCAAGCCUUGUAUUAAACCGUUAUUAAUGAAAUGAAAUUUUAGUUCUUUUACA